rnacentral:ribozyme from 1 species
UGCCCAGCAACUCCUAUCCCUACCUCCUCGUGGUACUGGCCGGAGUACGAGUAACCUUGGGAAAG